rnacentral:rRNA from 1 species
GUUGCUGGCCAUGACACUCUGAGAAUACCUGAUCUCACCUGUUCUUGGAAACAAAGUAAAGUUGGGCCUGGUUAGAACUUGGAUGGGAGACCACCUGGGAAUACCAAGUGUUGUAAGAU